UCUCUAGAGGAAAUGAGGCGUUGGGGGCCCGGCCAUGAGGCUAUAUAGCCCAGCCCCACUUGCUGCCCGCUCAGCUUCACAAGUGGGCGUGACUGCGGGGUUGUAAAGUCUCCUGCUGCUUCUGCUAACAUGCCUUCCAAUCUUCUCUCCAGUUCCAGUCCUCUCUAUCUCCUGCCAAGUCUUCCACUCUACCCUGUGAUGGAAUGAGUUCCUAGAAACCUAAACUAGAAUGAAUGGUGCCUCCUUAAGUUGCAUGGUAUCAGGGGCUAGGAGAAAGAAAAUCACAGUUACAGCCUUACAAGAUCAAGCCAGUCAAAAUUCAGCUUGGGCGUGUGGAGGGCCCCUUUGCCCCACCAUCAGUGGAAGAACUAUUGGCUGUUGAUGGCUGCUGGAGGAGGGAGGGAGAAGAAUUCUCCUUUGGGGACAUGACUGCUGUUAGAGUCCCAUGCCACAGUGAAUGGUCUCUCUGCUCCUGACUAUGGAUAUGACUGACUAGCUUGCUUCGGAUUCCCAUCUUGACUUCCCCACAAUGAUGGACUGUAACUGACUUGAAAGCCGAGUAAACCCUUUCUCACUCA